UACCACGCAAGUGGAUGCCAAUACCCUAAACCUCUCUCAGUUCGGAUUGAAGUCUGCAACCCGACUUCAUGAAGCUGGAUUCGCUAGUAAUCGCGCAUCAGCCACGGCGCGGUGAAUACGUUCCCGGGCCUUGUACACACCGCCCGUCAAGCCAUGGGAGCCGGGGGUACCUGAAGUGCGUAACCGCAAGGAGCGCCCUAGGGUAAAACUGGUGACUGGGGCUAAGUCGUAACAAGGUACC
rnacentral:rRNA from 1 species